AUUGAACGCUGGCGGCAUGCCUUACACAUGCAAGUCGAACGGCAGCACGGGGGCAACCCUGGUGGCGAGUGGCGAACGGGUGAGUAAUGCAUCGGAACGUGCCCAGUAGUGGGGGAUAACUAGUCGAAAGAUUAGCUAAUACCGCAUACGACCUAUGGGUGAAAGCGGGGGACCGCAAGACCUCGCGCUAUUGGAGCGGCCGAUGUCUGAUUAGCUAGUUGGCGGGGAAAANCCCACCAAGGCUUCGAUCAGUAGCUGGUCUGAGAGGACGACCAGCCACACUGGGACUGAGACACGGCCAGACUCCUACGGGAGGCAGCAGUGGGGAAUUUUGGACAAUGGGCGCAAGCCUGAUCCAG
rnacentral:rRNA from 1 species